AUUGAACGCUGGCGGUAUGCUUAACACAUGCAAGUCGAACGAUGAGAAAGAGCUUGCUCUUUCGAUUAGUGGCGGACGGGUGCGUAACGCGUAGGAAUCUACCUAUUAGUGGGGGACAACUUAGGGAAACUUAAGCUAAUACCUCAUACGCACUACGGGGGAAAGAAGGGGACAGCAAGACCUCUUGCUAAUAGAUGAGCCUGCGUAGGAUCAGCUAGUUUGUUGGGUAAAAGCUCACCAAGGCGACGAUCCUUAACUGGUUUGAGAGAAUGAUCAGUCACACUGGAACUAAGACACGGUCCAGACUCCUACGGGAGGCAGCAGUGGGGAAUAUGGUACAAUGGGCGAAAGCCUGAUCCAGCAAUACCGCGUGUGUGAAGAAGGCCUUAGGGUUGUAAAGCACUUUCAAUUGGAAGGAAAACCUCGAAGCUAAUACCUUCGAGUUUGACAUUACCUUUAGAAGAAGCACCGGCUAACUCCGUGCCAGCAGCCGCCGUAA
rnacentral:rRNA from 1 species